rnacentral:rRNA from 1 species
UGGGGGAUAUUGCACAAUGGGCGAAAGCCUGAUGCAGCGACGCCGCGUGGGGGAUGAAGGCCUUCGGGUUGUAAACUUCUUUUGCUCUGAACAAGGCGCACCAUGGGGUGUGUUGAGUGUAGGGGUUGAUUAGCGCCGGCUAACUACGUGCCAUCAGCCGCGGUAAUACGUCGGGCGCGAGCGUUGUCCGGAAUUAUUGGGCGUAAAGGGCUUGUAGGUGGCUGGUUGCGUCUGUCGUGAAAGCUCAUGGCUUAACUGUGGGUUUGCGGUGGGUACGGGCUGGCUUGAGUGCAGUAGGGGAGGCUGGAAUUCCUGGUGUAGCGGUGGAAUGCGCAGAUAUCAGGAGGAAUACCGGUGGCGAAGGCGGGUCUCUGGGCUGUUACUGACACUGAGGAGCGAAAGAAUGGGGAGCGAACAGG